CCUACGGGGGGCUGCAGUAGGGAAUCUUCCGCAAUGGACGAAAGUCUGACGGAGCAACGCCGCGUGAGCGAAGAAGGUCUUCGGAUCGUAAAGCUCUGUUGUCAGGGAAGAACAAGUACCGAAGGAAAUGGCGGUACCUUGACGGUACCUGACGAGAAAGCCACGGCUAACUACGUGCCAGCAGCCGCGGUAAUACGUAGGUGGCAAGCGAUGUCCGGAAUUAUUGGGCGUAAAGCGGGCGCAGGCGGGUGCAUAAGGCUGAAGUGAAAGCUUACGGGAAAACCGCAAGCGGGCAGUGGAAACCGGGGAUCUAAAAAGUAGAAGGGCAGUGCUGAAUUGCACCGGUGGCGGUGAUAUUAGCAGUGCCAUUGUGCAAGACCAGUGGCGGAGAAGGCUUGCGGGUCUGUAACACGCGCUGAGGCGCAAAGGUGUGGCGAGCAAACAGCAUUAGAUACACGGGUAGUC
rnacentral:rRNA from 1 species